rnacentral:rRNA from 1 species
GAUGAACGCUGGCGGCAUGCCUAAUACAUGCAAGUCGAACGAGAGGAAGGAAAGCUUGCUUUCCUGAAUCUAGUGGCGAACGGGUGAGUAACACGUAGGUAACCUGCCCAUGUGCCCGGGAUAACUUCUGGAAACGGAUGCUAAAACCGGAUAGGUAGCAGACAAGCAUUUGACUGCUAUUAAAGUGGCCUUGGCCAUGAACAUGGAUGGACCUGCGGUGCAUUAGCUAGUUGGUGAGGUAACGGCCCACCAAGGCGACGAUGCAUAGCCGGCCUGAGAGGGCGGACGGCCACAUUGGGACUGGGACACGGGCCAAACUCCUACGGGAGGCAGCAGUAGGGAAUUUUCGUCAAUGGGGGGAACCCUGAACGAGCAAUGCCGCGUGAGUGAGGAAGGUCUUCGGAUCGUAAAGCUCUGUUGUAAGAGAAAAACGGCACUCAUAGGGAAUGAUGAGUGAGUGAUGGUAUCUUACCAGAAAGUCACGGCUAACUACGUGCCAGCCGCCGCAGUAAAAC